rnacentral:lncRNA from 1 species
CCAAUAAGACCUGUAACAGACUUCCUUUUUUUUCUAUUAAGAUGUAUUAAUUUUAGAGAGAGAAUGAGCAAGUGGGGGGUGGUGAGGUCUCAGAAAGAGAGAAUCCCCAAGCAGACUCCCUGAUGACUGCAAAGCCUGACGUAUGGGUCAGUCCCAUAGCCCAUGAGAUCAUGACCUGAGCCAAAACCAAGAGUUGGAUGCUUAAUGGACUGAGCCACCCAGGCACCUCAUAGAUUUGUGACAGACUUCUAACCUACAUAACUAAAAUAUUAACUUGUUUUAAAUCACUGAAUUCAUGGUAAUUUCUUGUUACAGCCAUAGAAAACUAAUACACCCACCAUGGCAGGGUUCAAUGCAGGUUCAGUGCACCGUAUUGGUGUGAUUGAUCACAAUUUGGGAAAAGAUGAGAAGAUUCAGCCCUAGGAACUGAUGUGAACUGGUUCUAGUGCACCACUGAGUAGACUUAAAUAAAAGUUUUGUUCAUUUUCUCCUUAUAUUUUAUAGCAGAAUAAUAAACUGGAUAAAAAGUGACUAAUACAAAGUGUCAUACUAUCAUUAAACUAUUUCCUAGUACUUACAUUUUUUAUUGCUUUUUUAGGACCUAAGGUAGCUGGAAGGUGGGAGGUGAGCAAUUAGGGAGGAGAAAUGAUAUGGGAUAGGGUCAUCACAUGGAACAACUCCUGAGAAGCCUUUUUCAUAUGGACUACGGUACAAAUGACAUCCCACUGAGUUGAGCAAAACUUGGAACAUAGAGAUGGAGACUUUUUCUGCCUGAGCCCCUGUGUGAUGACAUCCUAGGCUGACAUCUUUCCCCUACCUACCCUGCCACCACCAGCGGACAUGGGUGGAUUGUAUGAAAAGAUAUUAGAAACACAGAAAUACAGCAUCACUGUGAGGAAAUUCUUGACUUGUGAGAUCAUGAAGUCAAGUGGGACUUUCAACCUAG